CAGCCCACUGGAAUACAGCACAACAAAAAUAAUGCCUCGAGUCAUGAGUGUGGCUGUUAUGUCCCAUGCUCCAGUUUUUCUGCCACUGCUUGCCAUGGCAGUGAUGGAGGUUGUAUUUCUCAGGUUGGGGCACCUAUCAGGACCUACUGCUUGCAGUGGUAGAAUGAUUAUUGAGAAAGGGACUUUCAGUUAAUGCAGACUUAGAACAGUAGAAUUGGCCUUAGAUUGUUCACAUUAGAAAUAUUUAUUUUCUGUCAGAGUGAAGAAAAUGAAAUACAUGCAGAAAAAUCUGACACUGUAUCCAGCCAGUUUAAAACCUGAGACCUUCAGAACCACCAGAUCCAUCUGUCUAAUAGUGUUGCAAAGAGUUCUCCAUAUUUCCCAACCUUUGGCCUGGAUUUCUGCCUCAUUCCAUUAUCUUUUCUGUAUUGCAUGUUCUGAACACUCUCUUCAUGCAUUUUUGAGUCUGCAGAUCUUCCUGUCUUGUAUUAAAUUAUUUUAUGUUUUUGGUUAGAUGGUUUUAAAUGUGUCCGAGGCAUACUCUGCAUUGUUGUGGUUGCAAUACAUCAUGGCUUGAAACAAGUUGGGCCUUUAUACAUAGUCUUUAUUGGUUUAUAAACAUUUUAUAUCAACUGCAGAGGUUAUUUACUGUUGUUUGGCAUGAUGAAAUGACCGUGUAAAAUUGUAAAUGAGAGAGUUGUGGCCUAUUUUAUGAUAUAAUUCCAGUGUUGUGGCAUUUGAUGAUGAAAGGGAUAUUCAAGAUUUUUGACUGCGAUCAAGACUUUUGUUUCAGCAGUUAAUCUUUGUUAUGUGGGCACAGGGAAUUUAAAUCCUUGUACUCUGGGGCAGGUUUUAUGACUGGGUUUAACAGUUUAGCAGUAUACUAGUAUGACAUGCAGGUUAACGGAUUGCUCACCUAAUGAAGAAGAAUGUGUCCACAGAGUAGGCACCAUUAUUUAUUGUCUGGAACAGGAAUUCCUUUUCUACGAUAUUCCGGUACUCCAUGUUGUCUGCAAUCAUGUAUUGUUACCAUAACUGCUAAUAUUAUGUUAUCAUCCUCCACCCAACAUUUUAUAUACAUUUUCUGUAGUCACUGUCUGCUACAUGCCCAGUCAAUUUCACCUUUAUUUAUACUGUCAGCUUCUUUAUUGACCACCACAGGAUGUUUGCAUGUUUAGAUGAUGUUAGCUAUGUUGGUAGUUGUGAAAUGUUACUGGAUUAGUCAAAAUAAUUUAUUUCUGUGAGAAUGGAUGUAGUAUGUCUAAAGCAAAGUUUUAUGAUUAUUGUGUGGAAUUUACUAUGAAGUCUGUGAACUGACUUUGUGUAUGUAUUAUGAGAAAAUAAAACAAAAGAGCAUGUUUAUGUAUUAA